AUUGAACGCUGGCGGCAGGCUUAACACAUGCAAGUCGAGCGGAGAUGAGGUGCUUGCACCUUAUCUUAGCGGCGGACGGGUGAGUAAUGCUUAGGAAUCUGCCUAUUAGUGGGGGACAACAUUCCGAAAGGAAUGCUAAUACCGCAUACGUCCUACGGGAGAAAGCAGGGGAUCUUCGGACCUUGCGCUAAUAGAUGAGCCUAAGUCGGAUUAGCUAGUUGGUGGGGUAAAGGCCUACCAAGGCGACGAUCUGUAGCGGGUCUGAGAGGAUGAUCCGCCACACUGGGACUGAGACACGGCCCAGACUCCUACGGGAGGCAGCAGUGGGGAAUAUUGGACCAUGGGGGGAACCCUGAUCCAGCCAUGCCGCGUGUGUGAAGAAGGCCUUAUGGUUGUAAAGCACUUUAAGCGAGGAGGAGGCUACUGAGACUAAUACUCUUGGAUAGUGGACGUUACUCGCAGAAUAAGCACAGGCUAACUCUGUGCCAGCCGCCGCGGUAA
rnacentral:rRNA from 1 species